CGACUCUCAAAUUUUGUACAAGUACGAGGGCGGGAAAACAUAAACUCAGGAAGAAGAAAAGGAGCCACAACUGAGCUUCGAAGAACAAACUCAAUCUCUUCUGUUUCUCUCUUUCUCUGAAAAUUCAGAGUGGAAGAGAACAAAAAAUGGAGAGGAUUCAUGUAACGGUCCGAGCAAGGCCACUCUCAGCGGCGGACGCUAAGACGAGCCCAUGGAAAAUCUCCGGCAACUCCAUUUUCAUUCCUAAUUACCCUAACAAGUUUGAAUUUGACCGAAUUUUCGGUGAAGAUUGUAAGACUUUCGAAGUCUAUCAAGCUCGCACCAAAGAAAUUGUUGCCUCCGCAGUUCGUGGAUUCAAUGGGACUGUUUUUGCUUAUGGGCAAACUAACAGUGGGAAAACUCAUACAAUGCGAGGUUCUCCCACUGAACCUGGGAUCAUUCCUCUUGCUGUCAACAAUUUGUUUGAUGUUAUACAUCAGGAUGCAGAUAGAGAGUUUCUUCUUCGAAUGUCCUACAUGGAAAUCUACAACGAGGAGAUUAAUGAUUUAUUGGUUCCUGAGCAUCGAAAACUGCAGAUUCACGAAAGUUUAGAGCGGGGAAUCUAUGUUGCUGGUUUGCGAGAAGAGAUUGUUGCUUCUUCUGAGCAAGUUCUUGAUCUUAUGGAAUUUGGAGAAUCUCAUCGUCAUAUCGGAGAGACAAAUAUGAAUUUGUACAGUAGUAGAUCCCACACUAUCUUCCGCAUGAUAAUUGAAAGUCGGGAUAAAGUUGAAGAUGGAGACACUGGAAAUUCUUGUGAUGCUGUUCGUGUUUCAGUUCUGAAUUUAGUGGACCUUGCUGGUUCAGAGCGUGCUGCAAAAACUGGUGCCGAAGGCAUUCGCCUUAAAGAGGGAUCCCACAUUAAUAAAAGCUUGAUGACACUGGGAACUGUCAUUAAAAAAUUAAGCGAAGGUGCUGAGAGUCAAGGGAGCCAUGUCCCAUAUCGUGACAGCAAACUUACUCGCAUUUUGCAACCUGCACUUGGUGGAAAUGCAAACACAGCAAUUAUUUGCAAUAUCACUUUAGCACAGAUUCAUGCAGAUGAGACAAAAAGUACCCUCCAGUUUGCUAGUAGAGCAUUACGUGUCACUAAUUGCGCCCAUGUGAAUGAGAUAUUAACAGAUGCUGCUCUGUUAAAGCGUCAAAAGAGAGAGAUUGAGGAGCUUCGAGCCAAACUGCAGGGUUCCCAUUCAGAGCAUUUAGAGGAGGAGAUCCUCAACUUGAGAAAUACAUUAUUAAAGAUUGAAUUGGAGAGGGAACGAAUGGCUUUGGAGUUGGAGGAGGAAAAGAAAGUGCAGUCCGAAUGGGAGAAGAGGGUGCAGGAGCAAGCUAAGAAAAUAGAAAAUUUGAGUUCGAUGGUGCUUUAUUCGAAAAGAGAUGAGAACCAUGAUGGAAUUAAAAAGGAUAAGAGAAGGGAUACAUGGUGUCCAGGAAAUAUUUCACGGAAGCCCCUUAGAGAGGUCUAUCCAACCAUCCAGUCUAUGUCUUCGGCUGUGAAACCUGUAAGAGCCAAUCGUGACAUGGGACCACUUCUUCCAUUCGAAGAACUGGUGGAUGACACUGAGCUUUCUAAGGAGGAAACUUGCAAAAGGGGUGAGAGCGAUCAAAAGAAUGUAUUAGAACAAGGAUGUGCUUUUCCAGAUCCCUGCGCGUUAUUGCAUGUUACCAAUAGGAGAAAAGUGGUAUCGAAGAAGAAAAGCUUACCGGGAGACACUGAUGUAACAGAUGUGCAAGCAGCAUAUGAAGAUUUGCUUUUAAGAUUUGAAAGUGAGAAAACUAUGAGUGACAUAAAAAUCGAUUGCUUAACGAGAAAGCUUGCUGAAAUUGAUGAUCACUAUCAUGUCAAAAGAGGUGACUUUAAUGGGGACAAACAUAUAAGUUUACGGGAAUCAGAGGCUAUCCUUGUUAUCAAGCGACUUCAAGAACGGAUAAUGACUUUGGAAAUGGAGAAAUCUUCAAGUCAGCAAAAUCUUGAUAACGUUGUGGAGCUUGCAACAGAGCAAACCAUAUGUGCAAGGGAAAAGUUCGACGAGCUAUCUGAAGAGCUGCAUAAUGCACGUGAAGAAGCCAGGGUAGCUCGCGAGAAGCUUAAGUCCCCUGAAUCUGAAGGAGAUUUUGACUUCUUGUCAAUACUUUCAAAGGAACUCCAAGAAGUGAUUACAGAAAUUGAAAACUCUAAUCAAAUUUCUUUGAAUGUUUCUUUACUCAUCAAUGAUACAUCUCAGUGUUUUUCUGCUCUAUCUGAUAUGCUGCUUGAUUUGAAGACUUUGAUCCAUGAAUGUUCUGUGCAGCAGAAACUAAUUAUUAAAGAUCAUGAAGAGUUGAACUCCCAAAUGAUGCAGAAAGUUUCCAAAAUCGAGAAUGAGAAGCUUCUUCUUCAAAAUUACUCAGAUGAUCUCCAGAAUCAAAUAGAGUUACUGAAACAGCAAGUUCAAAAUUGUGAGGAGCUAUCGAUGGCUCUUGAUCAUCAGAAUAUGGAACAAGCUGAAUAUCUUGCUCAAAUCCAAACUCUUCAAAAGGAAAUAACAUGUUUGUCAUCUAGUUCACUUGCAAGGGAGAAGGAAAGCCUGAGAAAAGAUCUUGAAAAGACAAAAGUAAAGUUGAAAGAGUCUGAAGUGAAGCUCAAGAAUGCUUUGCAAGAGAGAACAAAACUUGAGGGCGAGAAAGCUGCAGCAGAACGAGAGAUAAAACGGCUAGUUGGACAAAAUUCGCUUCUUAAGCGUGAUAUGAAUAAACGUGACUCCAUUGCCGGUAGACGGCGUGAUUCAAUAAUUGAUAGGAGUUCAAAGGGGCUUGAUCCAGACAGAGCAAAGUCCUUUGUACUUCCGUAUGAACAAAUACUGGAGGAAGAUCAAAAGAAGUUGGAAGUUCUUACCUUUGAGUUAGAGGCGAAGAUUGCUUCUCUGGAAGAGCAAUUAAGGGCCACAUGCAAUGAGAAAGAAGAGGCAAUGUUUAGAAAUGAAUGCUUACUUUCAGAAUUAGAGACUUUAACUGAAAAACUGGGAAUAGCAAACAUACGACUGACUGCUGUACAGGAUGUCACCGAACUUAAACAAAGCUUAGAAGAAGCUACAUUUAAGCAGAAAAGCUUGGAAAGCUCUAUAGGACUUCUGGAAGAACAAAAAGAAGAGUUGGCCAUGCAACUCACAGAAGCCCUUCUGGAAAUGGAGGAGGAAAGAGCUGUAUGGUUGUCGAAGGAGAAGACUUAUAUUGAAGCAAUAGAAGAGAAAGUAAAAUUACACGAUCUGAAGGUGGCUUCCGCAUCAAAAGAAAUAUCUAAGGUGAUGAAUGAUUUGGAGUCUUGUCGUGAAGAAUGUGAGGUACUUAAGCAAAGUUUGAGAAGUUCAGAGGAGAAUGAGAGACGGGAAAAAGAGUGCAGAGCAUGGUGACGAAACUCUAGCCAUUGUUGAUGAAAAUCAACCUGUGGUCUAUCAAUCUUCACCAACAGAAGCAGCCGCCACCGCUGCCAAUGCAGCCCAUACCGUUGUCGUGCAAGCAGCCGUCGAUCAUUACCUUCAGACAACACUGUCUUUCCUUCUCGGCCAAUCGACGUCCCAGCUAACUGCAGCUGCCAGAAACCCACCAAAGCUUCCCUACCCAAGCAUCGGUCUACCAGAUCCCAUCCGCCCAAGUGGGCUUUUAUUGAGCGCCAGCCCACCGAACCCAGCCCAUGCCGGAAGCCACUCGACUGCUGUAUUUACGCCGGCGUUGCACUACCCGAGCGCCAGCAUCAUCCAGCAGCGCCAACCCAUGUUGAGCGUCGCACUUCCGUCGAUGACUCUUUACCUGAGAGCUGGUGUCAUUAGCAGCGCUGAUAGUCUCCACAGUGGACAACAACCAUCUUUACCCGACCGUAAGCGUACCUUUGAAACGGGAAAGUCCUCAUUUUCUCACAGUGGACAGCAACCAGCCUUCUCGGCCAGCAAUGGUGCUUCGCGUUCGAUGGGCUUAUCUCCAACGGUGGUCCAACAACAAUUGGCUAGUCUCCAACAACAAAUUGUUGCUCUUGGAGCAGCUCUUGGGCCAGCUACAAAUCUCCAACCAAAUUUUGCAAAUUCAGAUUUAUCCUCAAGUCUAUCGAUGUAUUCAAAAAAUCCGAUAACCACCUUUCCUACUUUGUCUAUAACAAAUGUUAUGUUUGGUUCUAUAGGAAUUUUUGCAGUUUCAUUGCAGGAGAGAAACUGAAUGGCCAUAACUACUUUUCCUUGUCUUAAUCCAUUGAGCGGCGUCACAAGUUUGAAUAUUUAACUGGUGAGAUACCAAGACUCAGACUAGGAGAUCCACAAGAGCGCAUUUGGAAAGGAGAAGACUCUUUACUUUGUUCGUUGUUAGUUAACAGUAUGGAACCAUAGAUAGGAAAACCCUUACUUUAUACUGCAACUGCUCAAGAUAUUUAGGGUGCAGUACAAAAGUUAUAUUCUAAGAGGUAGAAUGCAUCACGAUUGUACACAUUGAAUAAACAGGUCAAUGAGUGUAAAUAAGGAACGAUGAAUGUGACUUCCUAUUUCAACAAAUUGUCUUUACUUUGGCAGGAGAUGAAUCUAUGUCGUGAAAUUGUCUAGAACUGUCCGUGUGGUGGAGUUUAGUGUUCAAAAAUUGAGGAAACUGAUCGUGUUUAUGACUUUCUUGUUGGUUUGAAUUCCAAAUUUGAUACUGUGCGUAGUCGAAUACUGGGACAGAGAUCAAUACCUUCCCUCAUGGACGUCUGCUCUAAGGUUUGUUUAGAGGAGGAUAGAUCGAGUGCCAUGAAAAAUCCUAUAGUUUCUUCCACAGAUUCUGCUGCAUUUAGUGCAAAGUCAUCUGGGCUUGAUGGUGACAAGUAGAAUAGUAUACUUCCUUCAGUAUGUGAACAUUGCAAGAAGCCUUGGCAUACUAAGGAUCAGUGCUGGAAGUUACAUGGUUGUCCUCCGAAUAGUAGAUGUCGUCAUGAUAAGUCAAAUUCUGGUCGAGCACUUGUGAGUGAUUCUACAAAUGGUGCUUCUGAGUCUCAAUCUCAGGUGAAUAACCAGAAUAACUCUGGUACUGUCAGAGUCAGUGCUAUUAUCCGGUUAGGUACGUUUCAGUCCUUCAGCCUUCUUAGUAUUAAGUAAAAAACCGUGGAUUCUUGAUUUAGGAGCCACAGAUCAUUUGACUGGCUCAUCUGAUCAGUUCCUUCCAUAUUAUCCAAGUGUUGGUAAUGAGAGAAUUCGGAUUGCCCCUUUGCUCUUGUUGCGAGAAAGGGUAGCUGUGUUGCAUGUCUCGAAAAUGUCAUACAACUUACUAUCUAUCAGUAAGAUUACUAGAGAUUUGGAUUGUCAAGUUGUAUUCUCACCUGAUACUAUUUCCUUUCAGGAUCUGAGCUCGGAGAUGACGAUUGGUACUGUCCGACACGAUAGGGGGCUCUAUUUCCUUAAUGUCGAUGCUUCCUCUAGGAAUUGUUAUAGAACUAGUUAAGUAUCUUCUUGCUUUCUGAAAAGGAUUAUAUGUUAUGACAUUUUCGUCUUGGUCACCCAAGUUUUCAAUAUAUGAAAUAUUUAUUUCCUCAUUUAUUCCAUAAUGUUGAUGUCUCUUCCUUGUCUUGUGAUGUGUGUAUUCGUGUUAAACAACAUCCGGUCUCUUUUCGAUCCCAAUCUUACAAACCAUCUCAGCCUUUUACUCUUAUCCAUGGUGAUGUUUGGGGUCCCUCAGACAUCACUACUUCUUCUGGGAAACGUUGGUUCGUGACCUUUAUCGAUGAUCCCUCGUCUUACUUGGGUGUUCCUUCUCACUGAUAAAUCGGAAGUAUCAUCGAUAUUCCAAUAGUUUUAUACGACUGUGGGGACUCAGUUUAACAUUAAAAUUGCCAUCCUUCGCAGUGACAACGAUCGUGAGUUCUUUAACAUCUUCCAUGAUUUUUUGGCUUCUAAAGGAAUUGUCCAUCAAAGUUCUUGUGUGUAUACUCCUUCUUACUUAUGGGGGGAUGUUGUUCUGACUGCAGUGCAUCCUAUCAAUCGAAUGUCUUCUCGUGUUCUCCAAUUUCAAACUCCUCUUGAGUGCUUCAAAGAGUCAUACCCAGCCACUCAUCUUAUUCCUGAUGUCCCUCUUCGAGUGUUUGAGUGCAUUGCCUAUGUCCAUACUCAUGGUCCUAACUGCACUAAAUUUACCCUUCGUGCUUAGAUAUGUGUCUUUAUCGGGUAUCCUCUUCACCAACAAGGGUAUAAGUGUUACCAUCCAUCCUUAUAGAAGUAUUUUGUCUCUAUGGAUGUCACGUUUCUUGCGCAUAAACCUUUCUUUCCUAUUAAUCCUCUUCAAGGGGAGAGUACUAGUGGAGAGACUAAUUGGUCCACAUCUUCAAUUCCUAUAGACUUGCUUCUUGAACCCAUCUUUGUCACGAAUGAUAGUGUCCUACCUACUAAAUAGGUUCCUUGGAUAAUGUACUACAAGAAGAAUCUCAGAAAAGAAAUAGUGCCACUUGUUGCUUCUCCAGCUAUGGUCCAUGAAUUGGAACCAACACCAGCUCAAGUCAGAAGAAGCUAGAUGUCAUAGAGAGCCUAAAAAAUGAGAAAAAUAUAGCUAAGAUUGAAAAUGAAGCGACUCAGCAA